rnacentral:lncRNA from 1 species
AUCUAAUUUCUUUGCCCUCAGCCAGUCCUUCCAGUGCUGAAAGUGUCUCCCUACACUGGGUUGAAUAGUUUUUCUAAAAUGUAUUACUGGGUAAUACAUUGGUAUUGGUACUAGGAGGCAACCUAGAGGAGCCCAUUAGUUCCAGACUUACUCCUACUGCCAGCGUUGCACAAUAGCAUUCCUAUUUCCUCUUGAUAACCAGCAUCAAUUUUUCUAGCCAAUAUAGUAACUUCCAGCCUGUUGGACCAAGGACGCCAGGAGAGAAGAUUGGUAAAUUGCAGGUCAACAUAGAGUUCAGUGGAAUCAAUACAUCCCCUGUACAUGGACGGCUGAAAUUUUGAGCAAGUGGAAUCAAAUAUUUGUCAUAUUCUCUGAACUUACCUGAAUAAAUUUCUAGCAGAUGACCAAGAGGGAAUGCAGAUCACUGAAUUCCCCCCUUGGAGCUUUUUAUACACACAGAAUCUCUGCUAGUUGUGUUCCAACUGCUUCUGGCUACAAGGUUUAUGAUGAUGUUUUGUUUUUUCUCUCCAUCUCCAGGUGUUCUCCACGAUGCUUUCCUCAAGUCAUUGAAUCCCCAUGUACAUUUCACUCUAGCAAGAGUGAUAUAUGGGGUCGAGUAGUUCCCAACACCAAGCAUCAAGCCCAACGAUUGAUUGGAAAGGGGACUCUGUGUCCUUCACCAGAAUAGCUGGAGCCAUUAUCCUCCCAUAUUUGCACAGAGGACUCAGUAAAUGUUUUUGGAUGAAGACAAUGAUGGUCCGUUGGAAUGAUAUUGGAGAUGCAUUAAGUUAGCUAUGACUCAUUCCUACUUAAGAAGAGUUGGGUUCGGGAAAAGCUAAUGGUAAGACUGUUUAUAAUUCCUACCACUUUUCGUUUAUGUAACAGAUGCUGUUUGUUUCCUCCCUUUCACAUCCCCACAGCCCUAAACUCUACCCACUAAAGGCUGAUCAUUGUUAACAAUUGACACUCUAUCCUUGGACUUUUUUCUGGUUGUAGGAGCCCACUUGGCCUCUAAGGAGAGAACAUUGUUCCAGAAGCCGCCUUCAACCAAUGACAGAAGUGGUGUAAUAUACCCCACAUCACAGGAUCUCACUGAGUUGGAGGACAGUGUCCAUUCAAAUUCCUAACGCCCUAUCUAUUUUCACUAUCGUUUUGUUGGCAAGCCCAUCAAAUUGCAGAUUGUUUGAUUUAACUCUCAUUGGGUUUUUAGCAGAAAGUACACAGGGAAUGAUUGCAUAAGUAGAUUGUUUGCCUACAUUUCCUCUGCUGGAAUCAUUAAGGCAAAAAUGGGCCUUCAAUAGUGAGAUAGAGCAAAGGGAAGGAAAUAACGAUUUGAAAAUAAGGAGUGCUUCAGAGGAAAGCAAGUUGUUUGGGGGCUUAAAGAAGGAUCUUUGAGCAGUUUCUGUGUAGCAUGAUGGACAUCAGGAAUAUGGCAGUCAUAAGAAAUAAAUGCUAAAAUGAGAUACA